rnacentral:rRNA from 1 species
GGACAAGAUGAAACCAUAGAUCACCUGUUCUUUACUUGCUCUGCUGCUAGACUCUUGUGGUGCUUAAUAAAAUGCUCCUUUAAUCUGAAAACAUAUCCAAAAGGAAUAGACGAUUGUCUGGGACCUUGGGUCAGAAGCUUUGCUGAUAGAGAGAAAAAACUAGUGCUAGUUGGGAUCUCGGCAAUUAUGUGGGCCAUCUGGAAGUGUAGAAAUGAUAUAAUUUUUCGAGAUAAAAAGAUCAAUGAUCCUAUGACAUUGAUUGAACUAACAUGCUACUGGAUUAUGGAUUUGUAUGUUUUGCAGAAAUAA